CCUACGGGAGGCUGCAGUCGAGAAUCAUUCACAAUGGGGGAAACCCUGAUGGUGCGACGCCGCGUGAGGGAAUGAAGGUCUUCGGAUUGUAAACCCCUGUCGUGUGGGAGCAAAUUAAAAAGAUAGUACCACAAGAAGAAGAGACGGCUAACUCUGUGCCAGCAGCCGCGGUACUGAAGAGGUCUCAAGCGUUGUUCGGAAUCACUGGGCGUAAGGGGUUCGUAGGCUGUUUCGUAAGUCGUGAGUGAAAGGCGCGGGCUCAACCCGCGGACGGCACAUGAUACUGCGAGACUAGAGUGAUGGAGAGGGAACCGGAAUUCUCGGUGUAGCAGUGAAAUGCGUAGAUAUCGAGAGGAACACUAGUGGCGAAGGCGGGUUCCUGGACAUUAACUGACGCUGAGGCACGAAGGCCAGGGGAGCGAAAGGGAUUAGAUACCCGAGUAGUC
rnacentral:rRNA from 1 species